rnacentral:lncRNA from 13 species
ACCUAUGAGUCCCCAAGCCCAGCACAGGACCUUGAGAAGGGUGGAUGUUCAACUCUGAGGUAAGGGCUGCUUGAUCCCUUUAAAAAACAGGGAGCGUGGGAGGUGACAUGCUGACUUGCUAGCAGCCUUAGAUGAGCAGGAGCCCUGAGCAGUUUUGCAGAGCAGCUGUCACUGGUUCAGGGAUCAUUGCAUACCCCCAGGGUUGGGGGGAGCUCAGACAGGGGAGGUGCCCAGGUCACCCAGCAGGUUGGGCAGUGCCUGGCUGACCCUGAGUUCAGGACUCCUAGGGGUCAAGUCCCUUCUCAUGCCCCACAGAUAAAACAUCUUUUUUUUUUUGAGACAGAGUCUUACUUUGUUGCCUGGUUUGGAGUACAAUGGUGUGAUCUCGGCUCACUGCAACCUCUGCCUCCUGGGUUCAGGCAAUUCUCCUGCCUCAGCCUCCCAAGUAGUUGGGAUUACAGGCCCCUGCCACAAUGCCUGGUUAAUUUUUUUAGAUAGAGUCUCACUCUGUCAGUGAGUGAUAGAGCCUCACUCCAGGCUGGAGUGCAAUGUCAUAAUCUCGGCUCACUGCAACAUCCGGCUCCUGGGUUCAAGUGAUUCUCCUGCCUCAGCCUCCUGAGUAGCUGGGAUUACACGUGCCCGCCACCAUGCCAGGCUAAUUUUUUUGUUUUUUUAGUAGAGACAGGGUUUCACCAUGUUGGCCAGGAUGGUCUGGAACUCCUGACAUCAGGUGAUCCAUCCGCCUCAGCCUCCCAACGUGCUGGGAUUACAGGCAUGAGCCACUGCGCCCAGCUGUGGCUGUACUAUUUUUUUGUUUUGUUUUGUUUUUUUGAGAUGGAGUCUCAUUCUGUUGCCCAGGAUUGAGUACAAUGAUGUGAUCUUGGCUCAUUGCAACCUCUGCCCCCUUGUUCAGGUGUUCUCCUGCCUCAACCUCCCGAGUAGCUGGGAAUACAGGCACCUGGUUAAUUUUUGUAUUUUUAGUAGAGACGGGGUUUCACCAUCCUGGCCAGGCUGGUCUUGAGCUCCUGUCCCUGUGAUCCACCUGCCUAGGCCUCCCAAAGUGCUAGGAUUUCACGCAUGAGCCACUGUGCCCAGCCACUGUAAUAUUUUACAUUAUGAGGGUUCCAAUUUUUCCACAUUCUUGACAACACUUGUUAAUAUGGUAUUUUUUAUUAUAGCCAUCCUGGUAAGUGUGAAUAGUAUAUUGCAGGGUGGUUUUGAUUUGCAUUUUCCCAGUGACUAAUGGUGUGGAGUAUCUUUUUAUGUGCCUAUUGGCUAUUUGUAUAUCUUAUUUGGAGAAAUAGCUAUUCAAAUAUUUUGCCCACUUAAAAAAUUAUUUGUCUUUUUCUUGUUGAGUUGCAAAGAGUUCUUUAUGUAUUCCACUUACUAGAAUACUAGACCCUUACUACAUACUUCCUGUGCAAGUAUUUCUCCCAUUCUGUGGGUUGUUCUUUAACUUUCUUGAUAAUAUCCUUUGAAACACAACAUUUUUAAUUUU